UACAGGGGGUGCAAACGUUGCUCGGAAUUAUUGGGCGUAAAGCGCACGUAGGCGGUUUGUUAUGUCGGAUGUGAAAGCCCUUGGCUCAACUGAGGAAGUGCAUCCGAAACUGGCAAGCUAGAGUAUGUAAGAGGGUCGCGGAAUUCCCGGUGUAGAGGUGAAAUUCGUAGAUAUUCGGAAGAACACCAGUGGCGAAGGCGACUUACUGGACACAUAUUGACGCUGAGGUGCGAAAGCGUGGGGAGCAAACAGG
rnacentral:rRNA from 1 species